rnacentral:rRNA from 1 species
GUACACGCUGUGACUAGCAUAUCAAUAAGCGGAGGAAAAGAAACUAACAAGGAUUCCCCUAGUAACGGCGAGUGAAGCGGGAAGAGCUCAAAUUUGAAAUCUUAAAGGGUUUCCCUUUACGAAUUGUAGUUUAAAGAAGUGUUUUCUGUUGAGGUUUUGGUAAAAGUUCUUUGGAAUAGGACAUCAUAGAGGGUGAGAAUCCCGUAUUUGACCUUUACUUUCAACUUUGUGAUACACUUUCAAAGAGUCGGAUUGUUUGGGAAUGCAGUCCAAAAUGGGUGGUAAAUUUCAUCUAAAGCUAAAUAUUGGCGAGAGACCGAUAGCGAACAAGUACCGUGAGGGAAAGAUGAAAAGAACUUUGAAAAGAGAGUUAAACAGUACGUGAAAUUGUCAAAAGGGAAGCGUUUGACACCAGUGUUGUUUUUCUGAAAAUCAAUUAAAGAACUGUUUAUGCUAAGUUGUUUAGACUUUAUCAGCUAACUGUUUAGUUUUGAGUUUUCUUUAAUGCACUUUUCAGUUAACAAGUCAACAUCAAUUUCUUUUGCUGUAAAAAAGCUUGAGGAAGGUGGCUUGAGAUUCGUCUUAAGUGUUUAUAGCCUCUUGCCUAUGCAGUCGGAGAGAUUGAGGUCUGCAGCGUAGAUCCUUCGGGGCUAAAUGCAUUUGUGCUAAGUUAUAGCAUUUCAUAGACAACUUGUUGACUAUGAUUUGUCUUGUAGCUUACUCGCUUAUGUUAUUUUACCUACGCUUAGGAUGUUGACAGCAGUAUAGACUGU